GGGUCAGUAGGUUGGUCGUGCCACCGGUACGUACUGGUCUCACUGAUUCCUCCUUCCUGAAGAACCGUAAUGCCAUUAAUUUGGUGUUGCGGGGAAACAGGACUGUUACUUUGCAAAAAUUAGAGUGUUUAAAGCAAGCUCACGCUUGAAUACAUUAGCAUGGAAUAAUGAAAUAGGACGAUCGAUCCUAUUUUGUUGGUUUCUAGGAUUGACGUA
rnacentral:rRNA from 1 species